rnacentral:misc_RNA from 1 species
GAAGAGGAAGGGGGGGGGGGGAGUAGGAGAUAUUUAGAAAUAAUUUCAACAUUGGCAAUGAAAAAAUUGGAAAGAAAAAUUUUAGAACAGACAAUUGAAAUAUAUUGCAGCAUCAAAUAAGUAAAACUCAGAAACAGAUUCUGAUGUCCGGUAAACCAGACAUACUAUUGCAAGUUUUAAUUGUGCAAACAGAUAAACUCAACUCAACUCAGCCUCUAUCCCAAAAAUUUGAGGUCAGCU